CGCCUCUUGGCACAGUAUAAGAGGUCCAGCCUGCCCGGUGACAUAGUUUAACGGCCACGGUACCCUGACCGUGCGAAGGUAGCAUAAUCACUUGUUCUUUAAAUAGGGACUUGUAUCAAUGGCAUCACGAGGGCUGCACUGUCUCCUCUCUUCAGUCAGUGAAACUGAUCCCCCCGUGAAGAAGCGUGGAUUAAAUUAUAAGACGAGAAGACCCCAUGGAGCUUUAAACAAUGUGCUCACACUAUGCUAAUAUAUCAACUCACUAAUAAGCCCUGGGCACAAGUUUUAGGUUGGGGAGACCGCGGAGUACAAACUAACCUCCACGACAGAUGGCUUAUGCCUUAUCUAAGAGCCACAGCUCCAAGAAUCAAGAUAUUGAUGUCUAUGAUCCGAUAUUCGAUUAACGAAUCAAGUUACCCUGGGGAUAACAGCGCAAUCUACUUUGAGAGCCCUUAUCGACAAGUAGGCUUACGACCUCGAUGUUGGAUCAGGGUAUCCUUGUGGUGCAGCAGCUACUAAUGGUUCGUUUGUUCAACGAUUAAAAC
rnacentral:rRNA from 1 species